GUUUUACUAUCAGUAGUAAAAGAAUAUGGAUUCCAAAACAAAGAAAGGCGGUAGCUAUGAAUACUUUGCAAUAAAAAUUCUUGAAUACAAUGAAAAUUGAUAACAAAAAGAAGGAUUCUAAGGAACUUCAAGGUGAAAAUAUUGCACAAAGAAGGCAUGUUUUUAUCACUACUAAAGAAAAACAAGAAUUCAAAAUUAACUCUCGAAGAGAGGGGAUCUUAGAAUUACUUGAAAAAUGUUGCUCAGAAAAUCCUUUCGAUCCUCAAAAGAAUAAAGGAAAUAUGACAUCAACUAUUGAAUUACUUGAUGAAUUUAAAACAGCUAUUGUUAGAGCUAAGGCAAUGACUUAUAGCCCUAAAUAUAGAGAUGAAUUCUCAGUACAAAUAAAAGAAUUGCUUGAACUACAGGUUAUUGAACCCAGUAAAUCUCAAUUUUCUUCACCAACCUUUAUGGUAAGAAAAGAAGUAGAAAAGAGACGUGGAAAAGCUAGAAUGGUAAUUGACUAUUCUCAUCUUAAUAAAAUUACUAAGACAGAUGGAUAUUCAAUUCCAAAUAUGUAAAGUCUAUUACAACUAAUAAAAGGAAAAACCUCAUUUUCAUCCUUUGAUUGUAAAUUUAGCUUUUGACAAUUAAUACUCAACCAAGAAGCAAGACAUCUUACAGCAUUUAGUUGUCCACAAGGAUGUUAUCAAUAGAAGGUGGUACCAUUUGGGCUAAAACAAGCACCAGGUAUUUUCCAAAGACACAUGGACAAUA
rnacentral:lncRNA from 1 species